rfam:Bradyrhizobium yuanmingense strain BR3267 contig989, whole genome shotgun sequence.
AGAUGGCGGCCGCGGUAAAGCCUAGCGAGCAGCCGAGUACCGAGUCUUGCGUGGUGUUCCGGUAACGGCCACUGCGAAGCGUAGACAGGGAGGUGGUAGGCCGGAAUGCAGUGAACGGGAAAAUAGCCCCGAAAUCGAACGUGAUCGGAGUAGCCGACCCUGUCGCUCAAAGGGGAAGGCGGAAUCUCAGGCCGCGCCAGAGCGAGUGGCCGGAGGUGCUCCCGGGGUUCGUACC